GGGACAGGGGACAGGGAGACAGGCGGAGCAGCAGGUGAUGGAACAGUUGUUAGGUAAUGUCUAUCUGUGGUUUAUGACGUUGGGACAACGACACUCUGGACCACUAGCAGGAUGCGGAGCAGAAAGGAGAGGGGUAUUCUGUAGAGAGGAGCGAAGAGGGGAUGAGAAGGGGUGCAAUCUAGAGGCCUGUUUGCUGAGGUGUCACACGGUUCCUGUCUUUGAUCAACAGUGUGGUGUCAGGAAAGUGAGGACCAUGUUAGCUGUUGGUUUGCCUUUUGUCUUGUUAGAUUCUUUAAUGUUCCUAGAAUGCUUUUAGUUUCUUAAAAUGCUUUUAGGUUCUUAGAAUGCUUUUAGGUUCUUAGAAUGCUUUUAGGUUCUUAGAAUGCUUUUAGGUUCUUAGAAUGCUUUUAGGUUCUUAGAAUGCUUUUAGGUUCUUAGAAUUCAUUGCAGAGAAGGGAAAGAUGUAGUAAGGUAGAAUUUAAAAUGUUCAGUGGAGCCAGCGUUCUGGAUGGAGUUUAGUAGAGGGCAUCAAGGAUAGACUGUCUGAAUGAUCUAUAUCCACACUACGAUGGAGACAAUGAAGACUGGGAUGUGGAUGAGACCAUGAAUCGCAGUAGAGCCGUGGGCCUGUCAGGGAGGACAUCCUGUCGUUGCCUCCUGUGAAGACAUGCUUCCUUAUAUCCCCAUAUGAAUACUGCCGUUAUGGAAUGAACAAGAGGACGAUGUGGGACUCUGACGUCAUGGAUCCAAAAUAUCAUCUCCACUACCCUCCUGUCUGUCUUUCUAUCUUUCUUCCUCUCCUCGCCCCUGUCCUAUCUCCUUCCUCCUCUCUUUCUGUCUUCCUCUCCUCGCCCCUGUCCUAUCUCCUUCCUCCUCUCUUUCUGUCUUCC